CACCUGGUGAUAGCCGUGGGGGUCGGUGCCCCCCGGCGGCAGGGCGGGGGCCUUGGCGUUGAGAAUGGAGAAUUCCUGCAGCCACUGCAGGCUGGUCAGGCUGUCGUCCAGGGCGUCGGGCUCCUCCAGGCCGCCCUCCGGCCCCGCCUCCUCCGCCUCCCCUGCACCCGAGAGGCGUAGCCAGCUCUCCGCCAUGUCUGCGGGGACCCUCCGAGGGGGCGGUCAACAUCCACGGCUGAGCCGGGGGUAGCCCGCCGCGCUCUCCGGCCCGCUGACUCCCGCGGCUCCAGUUACAGGGCCUCCCGGACGCGCGCUUCCAUCCCGCGACCAGGGGGUCGCCUCCUCGGAAGACCGGUGUGGUUCCUGCGAAGGACCACGGCGGGAGCUGAGCACUUUCCCCACCCUCGAUGGGAGAGUGUGUGCGAGGAGGGGGAGGCUCCUCUAAAAUCGUCCCCGCUGCUGGGGAGGAUCUUUGCUGGCCGAGGUCUGGGAAACAGAACCAGUGCCCUGGGGUCCGACCCCCGCUGUGUCCAUCGCACUCUUUUCCUCUCCGAGGUUUUAGAGGAGACUUUCUUUACUGGGUAUCCGAGGCUAUCACCUUCUCCCCCAGAGCAGGAGAUCAACCCUCUCACAACAAAUGGAAACGGGGCGAGGGAGCCCAGGAGGGCAGAGGCCAGAGACGCGGAAGUCGUCUGAUUUUUGAAGAGAUAUUAGGAUGGGGGGUAACGGGGAAGGAAGGAAACAGGAUAGGAAUUACAGGGGGCGAGAAGUAAGUGUCCCCCAAACUCAGAUGUCAUGCCCGGGUCCACCAAUUCACUCGAGGACGGAUGGGAGAGCGGGCUGGUACAGACACCCUCCCUUCCCGCGGCCAGCAGCCGUCUCAGUCCCUUACCUGGCUCAGAGCGCAGCCCGGGCCAAAGGAAGGUUCUGGAAGAAGUUCCUCCCACCCCCCGCGGCUCUCUGUACCCAGCUCGAGUGCCCCGCCAGCGCCCCUUGUCGCCCCCCCGCCCGACGGCGCCUCUCUGAGCGCUGGUGGCCCCCGGACCGGCAUUAAGUAGCCGCUGCAAAGGCUUCUUCUGCUGCCAUGGCGACGCUCCGCCCCCAUAAACAGCUUCCGCUGCUGCUAUUGGCCAGUGCGUUUCUAAGGAGAUCGCGGGCUCUAGCCACUCUCUCUGGCGGUAACUCUCCUCGAACUCCCUCCUUCUGCCGCCCUCUCCCGCGCCACCCAGCCCCCCUACCCGCCACCGCGUCCCGGCUCCGCGCAUUCCCGCUCGAGGGCCCCGCGCAGGACUCGGAGAAGCGCGCGGCUCUCACCCGAGGCCCCCGGCACGCCCGCGAGCCGUCCGCCGGGGCAGCCGCACUCCCGCCCUCGCUCCCUUCCUGUCCCGGCUGCUCCGGGCGUCCACGGCUCCGCGGACGGAGCCAGGGGCGCGGGGGCCAAGGCUGGGAAGGCUGGGAGCCGGCUCAGGCUCGGGAAUCGUGUGCUUGGGGUUUCCUUUCCUCUCCUCUGGGCUCACGUUUCUGUGCCCUUUCCCACCCUCCCGACCCUGAGUGUCGUCUGGGUGCCCGCGGGCAGGUCUGACUCUCCGAUGCCACCUGCCUCUCAGGCCCGCAGCAAUGGCUGCACCGAUCCCAGGCACACCAAGGCGAGCAGGGUUUCCCGAUAGCUGAGGGAACAAAGCCGGCGAGUGAAACUCACAGAGGUCACAGACUUGCGGAAUUCUCCUAGCAGGGUCAUUCGCCCCGUUCAUUUCACCAGCUUUCUAGUGGCAUGGACUAAAGGUAGGGGGACACCAGGGGCUGCUUCCUCCCCUCCUCCUGGUCUCUGGCCGGUCACCAGCUUUCCUGCUCUUCAAUUAUUGAGGAGCUGCAGUGACGGAAGUUCUCCGGUUUAAGGGUGAGGGUGGGGUGAGGGCUCCUUACUCAGGCCUCUGCCCAGAAGCUGGAGGGCAGGGCGUGGGAAGCCCGUGUCCUCAGGGUGGCCCCUCAGCUCCCACCUCCCACGCGGAGCAGGUCUUUCCCUACUUUCUGCCUCCCCCACUCCGCCAUCUGGAGAUUCUCUUGAGGAAAAAUGUUUGAGUGCUGGAGAAAGUCGGACAGAAACUUUCACAAAUGAGCCAAGGACACAGUUAAUAGCUCUCCUUCCCUUGUAAACAGUUUUAUUCGUUUUAAAGAAUCAUGCAGCAGUCCAUAAAUAUUGCAUCCUUGAUGUCCCCACUGUAGUGUGCCCACGAGUGUACUCCAGGGAGUGAGGGGUACACAGAUGGCACAAACAGUACACACACACACACACACACACUUGCACACACCAGGUGUGCAGGUCCUAAAGCAAAGUGAUCAACCAGCAUGCCAAGAUCAGGUGGACAGGACACCAACUCUCCCCAGGCGAGACAGCUCAAAGUGUGCGGCUCUAUGCCCAGGAGAUGCCCCAGUGCGGGCAUAAACUCCAAUGGGUGGAGCUGGGUGGGGAAGGAAGGAAGGCUCCAUGCGGCCGGGAUCAGCACACCACCUGGAGGCCACAGGAACCUCGGGCCAGAGUUGGCAGGAGAAGCCACAGGCCUCCAGAAGUCUGUGCCCUUGUGCGAGAGGCCAGGCCCCAUCCCAUCCUCACUGGGCCAACUGCUCAUAACACAACUGUCUCCGGAUGACGGACUGGGUGCGGCAGGGUCAGGAGCUGCCCUGUUCCCUGACCAAGCUGACUAAAGACCAGCUCCUUUGGAUGGGAUGUUUCUGCUUGCCUCAGAGCCAAAUGAGAACAAAGAGGUAGGGGAGACAGAGUGACGGAGACACAGAGGGAUCGGUCUGAGAAACAGGAGUGAAAGGGCCAUUUCUGACCUGGGCAUGUCUUGAUUAUGGAACCAAGACCUUAAAGAAUCUUUCUGAGCCUCUUGCUGGGGGAGGACCCAGCCUGUGCUGUAAGGAAGGACACAGACCCUCCAGGAGGGGUGAUGAUAAUGGUUUUCUCUCAGGGCUCCCGGCCACUGUGGCAACUGUUUACCUACAUCUCCUUCAUCUUGGGUAACACCACACGGUGAAUACUACCUGCCGAGAGGGGAGGGAGGCUGUGGGCCGCUACCCCCGGCUGAGGGAAGAUCCCCAUUCCCUGGGGCUUAAACUUCAAGGAAAUCAGGCAGUGGGGUUAUUGCUCUGACCUCAACCGCAGAAGGGGCCGUAAGGAUGUCGGGGGGAAAGGACAGGAGUCGGGCCUGAAGCAGCAGGGUCCAGAAGCCCCGGCAGGGCCUCAGAGAGGGGGACAUGGGGACUCAAGACAGAAGCUUAGAUUCAGGCAUGACUCACAUAUCGUGUCUGUUGGGACAGCAGGCCUUCCCCCCACCAGGGCAGGCCCUGAGCCAUAACCACUAGGCUGGGCAAGGGUCACCACCGCCUGGCAGUGCAAAGAAGCCACACGGAAGGGGUGAAGGAUUCCCUGGGCACGGGGCUCACUAUGGGGUGUUGGGGACGACCCUGAAAGGCUCUUCCAGGGUAACAGUUCCAAAUACAAAGACAGGCCAUCAUGAUGGUCAGAGCCUAAAGGCUCUGUGGUCUCUGGGCCUCAUAAAUUGCUGUAUCUAACUCUGCUACUCUAUCUCAUGCUCCACUAAAAGACCACCUUUUCCCAAAGCCAACAGACACAUCUGUGCAAGAACUGUGCGGAGCCACCAAUGACAACACUGUCCAGAGAGGAGGAACUCCCAGCAGCUUACAGCCUGGCCUCGCUGUUUUAGACUUUUGUUGACAUGCCUCGCAUGGGGCUGAGGAGAGGUGGCAGGGGUGGGGGUGGGGAUGGUGCAUAUGAUCUGAACCACAGAAUCUCUGAAUCUCUAAAGAGCCUGUGGGAGGAGUGCCUCCCCCUCCCCUGCUCAGGCUCGGCAGGUCUGGAAGGCAGGGAAGGGUAACACUUGGGGUGGGGAGGCCCCGGCUCCACGUGUGCCACUUCCUGUGGGACUCCUGGGCACCGACUUGAGAAUCACUGUUCCACCCCUCUCUCAACCUAUUUCUUCAACUAUUGACAAAAAGGGGUGGGGACAGGGACAACAGAUAGAAGACCACCACCGGACCGGGCUGUGGUGAGGGAAUGUGAGAACAUCCGACAGCUCCUAACACAGGUGCCUGGCACACCUGUGGUCAAAGGUGUGGUCAAAGAUGUGUUUUCUGAAAGGUCACCUUAGGAUGGAGUCCCAGGCCUUCAUGAACGCACCUGCUCCUAAAUAACCCUCCCGAGGGUCAUCACGUAACUGGGGGAUUCUCAGAUUCGAGGCCUCCUUCCUAAGCACACAGAUGCACGAGGCACAGGGGACCAGCUCUGUGACCAGACCAGAUGUUCCAGAGACCAGAAAAUGCCAGAGGGGUGUUUGUAAUGAAGCUGCCAAGACUCCAGGUCUUCUUGGUUGUGCCCCCUAAGGAGAAAAAGAUGCACGAGGAGCAACCAGCCCGUGGACCUGAAGGUCAAGGUGCCUGGAGAAGAGAAAAGAAGGGGAUAGGAGCCAGACCCCCGGCCAGGUCCGGAUGGCAUCUGCAGCAGGACAGCCCAGGAGUUCGGCACGGAAGCUAGCAGGAUGCGUGUUACCUGAGACCCCCAUGUGUGUGCAGGCCACAGCGAAGGAGAGAGAAUUGGGCGAGGUGGGCACCCAGGGGGCAGGGGGCUGUCCCUGUCCUAAUGGGCUAGGGACAGUCACGGCCACCAUGGACUGCAGAGAAGAACAUACAGAGUAUUUCUCGUUCUGUGCACCUGCCCUGCAAUCCACUUCUGUGUCUUUGUUUUGAAGUUUGCCUAGAUGUUAUGGGGGGUCGGGCUGAGGUUUUCCCCAGGGCAGGAAGCAGUGGAGGGGAGUGAGAAGAGCGUGUUAAUUUGGGCUCAGUGUCAGUGUUUGCCGUGGGAGCUGGGAGGGGCAGGAUGGGGCUGGUUGCUCAGCAGGGUGCCAGGGACAGAAAGGGGGGGGGGGCGCAGGUGUGACGGGGCCACCUGCUGCUCUUCAUCUCUGUCCACCCGAGCAGCCCUCUGGGGUCACCAUCAACCCUGGGAGACACCAGCCUGAGAGCCUUGGGGUCGCCCAGGCAGCACCCACAAAACUCUUGUCCUCCCCCAAACCCGCCACGGCUCCUGCACAAGGAGCACUGGCUGCCUGGUCUAGAAGCCUAUUCUUGGCUCCUCCGUCCUUCGUGCUCUGUAUUUCAUCCGUCACUACCUCCUGUCUGUCAUCAGAAAACCCGGGCUUCUCUCCUGGCUCAUGACUGACGGACUGACCGCGUGCUCCUGGGCGGAAGCCUUGAUUCACCCACCCAUCGAAUGGGAGCAGAGUGCUCUCCUCACAGGGCUGCUGGGACGACAAAACAAGGUGACAUGGGAGUGUGCUGAGCAGGGCGUGCCUUAUCCAGGCUGCCCUCUUCUCUCCCCGGGGUCUCCCCUCAACUCUCGUGCUGGCCCCGACUGCCUUUUCCCAGUGGCGCCCUCCAGCGCAGUGCAAAGCUCCCUGUGACACAGAGGCUCCCGGGGAAGACCUGACUCCACGGGGCCCACCGGACCUCCAGGCUGCGCCCCCCCAGGUGGUGCCCCCAGCCCGACUGCGGCCACAGUGUGCACCUCAGACAGCGAGGGAACCGCCAGGCCCUUGGCCUCCUCCGUCAGACUGCAAGCUCUUCUGGGCAGGCCUGGCCCUCAGAGGACUCAUGCAGGGGACAGGCUGGGCUGAGCCGGUGCAGAGGGAGGGCCCAAGGCUCACUGUGCUCGUGUUUGAGGGGCUCAGCCUCACGCCAGGGCCCGCCCAAGACCCUUUCACGGCCCGCACACUAGGACUGAGUAGCUAUAAACUGCGUAUCUCCCAGAAGUGCCCUGGUGUGAUCAUCCAUCUAAAGGCUCUGGCGGCGGUGUGUGGGGGGGGGGAGGGGGGGGGCCGGCCCUGGGGCAGAGAAGUGAGUGGAACAGAAAAUUCGCGGUGUCUCUCGAAUCUAGAUGGAAGCUGGAGAUUUCAAUUCCCUGGAGUCUAGGACAUGGGCCAAAGUGCAUUCUCCUCUAAGGGAGGCUCUCUUCAGUGUGACAGGAUGGACAGAAGGCAAGAUUGCCCUUUAAGUCAGGAACCCCCAAAUACAAUGAGAUGUUUGUUCACUUAUAUAAUUUGGUAGAUCUCAUACCUAUUCCUCAAUGUUUAUGGGGCAGGACUCCGGAACUGCGGCUGUUCGGUAGGAAAGACCAAAAGCAAACGGUGAACGAGAGAGAAGACACACAUGCAUGCACAAAAUAAAAUCCACGCCACCGCCGCCGCCAACCAGCACGCCACGAAACACCGGACCGACAGGCCGCCCUCACUCUGAACUCACACGAGUGCCUGCUACAGACUCCACCGCUCUAGAACCCUGAGCCAGGGCCUGGAACCAUCCUGCCGUAACAGACUCAACACUCAGACCUGAAGGAUCUGUUCUCGCGGCUUCUUAAUUCACUCCGUGGCGAGGGGAGGGUUAGCAGCAAUCACGUGGUGCCCUUCCUGCUCCCCCCCUCCCCCCCAAAAGGACUCCGAGGGGCCCUCAGCAGAACCCUGCUGCUGCUCCCGGGUCACGUGUGCAAAGGGGGAGCCUGGCCGCAGAGGGCAACCGGCUCACAGACGGGGCUUCCCGAACACAUGCUCCCACUGGGUCCGGCCCUUCAGCCAGAAACUGGAGCUUGUUGACUGAAAAUCUGUCGCGGCGACAGAUCAAGGUGCCUUUCCAUUUAGAGGAUGGGAAACAGGAGGGCAGAGAGACCUCUAGAGGUAGAUUUGGGGAGCACAUUUAGGGGAAUUCUGCACACCCCUUUCCCAGCUCUACCAAGCCCCUGAUUAAAUAAAUGUAGGCGCUCUGACA